rnacentral:rRNA from 1 species
UACGUAGGUGGCAAGCGCUAUCCGGAAUUAUUGGGCGUAAAGAGCGCGCAGGUGGUUGAUUAAGUCUGAUGUGAAAGCCCACGGCUUAACCGUGGAGGGUCAUUGGAAACUGGUCGACUUGAGUGCAGAAGAGGGAAGUGGAAUUCCAUGUGUAGCGGUGAAAUGCGUAGAGAUAUGGAGGAACACCAGUGGCGAAGGCGGCUUCCUGGUCUGUAACUGACACUGAGGCGCGAAAGCGUGGGGAGCAAACAGGAUUAGA